rnacentral:rRNA from 1 species
UACGUAGGGUGCAAGCGUUGUCCGGAAUUAUUGGGCGUAAAGAGCUUGUAGGCGGUUUGUCGCGUCUGCUGUGAAAUUUCGGGGCUCAACCCCGAACUUGCAGUGGGUACGGGCAGACUAGAGUGUGGUAGGGGAGACUGGAAUUCCUGGUGUAGCGGUGAAAUGCGCAGAUAUCAGGAGGAACACCGAUGGCGAAGGCAGGUCUCUGGGCCGUAACUGACGCUGGAGGAAGCGAAGGCGUGGGAGCGAACAGG